AUGAAGCCUAGCGAUUGUAAAUUUAGUGGCGGACGGGUGAGUAACGCGUGGGUAACCUGCCUCACACUGGGGGAUAACAGUUAGAAAUAGCUGCUAAUACCGCAUAAGCGCACGGCAUCGCGUGAUGCAGUGUGAAAAACUCCGGUGGUACAAGAUGGACCCGCGUCUGAUUAGCUGGUUGGUGAGGUAACGGCCCACCAAGGCGACGAUCAGUAGCCGGUCUGAGAGGAUGAACGGCCACACUGGAACUGAGACACGGUCCAGACUCC
rnacentral:rRNA from 1 species